rnacentral:rRNA from 1 species
AUUGAACGCUGGCGGCAGGCCUAACACAUGCAAGUCGAGCGAGCGGCGGACGGGUGAGUAAUGUAUGGGGAUCUGCCCGAUAGAGGGGGAUAACUAAUGGAAACUGUAGCUAAUACCGCAUACUAUCGGAUGAACCCAUAUGGGAUUAGGUAGUAGGUGGGGUAAAGGCUCACCUAGGCGACGAUCUCUAGCUGGUCUGAGAGGAUGAUCAGCCACACUGGGACUGAGACACGGCCCAGACUCCUACGGGAGGCAGCAGUGGGGAAUAUUGCGCAAUGGGGGCAAGCCUGAUGCAGCCAUGCCGCGUGAAUGAAGAAGGCCUUAGGGUUGUAAAGUUCUUUCGGGUGGGAGGCGUUACCCGCAGAAGAAGCACCGGCUAACUCCGUGCCAGCAGCCGCGGUAAUAC